rnacentral:lncRNA from 1 species
CUUCCCUUUCUGAGGAUCUUCUGUGCUAGUGCCUUUCUCCUGCAGCCCAGCCUAGCUGCAUCUGCUCAGCACAGAGAGCUAUCAAGGCCUUUGCAGCUGCCUGAAACAAUGUGGUUUCCUUAUUUUUAUUUUUUUUUUCCCUGCCAAACAGUGAAUAAUGGGGUUUCCUCUGAUAAGACUAAACUGGUCUGGUCUAUGCCUUUACGUCUUGUGGUCAGAUGGUACAAGUCAAGUGGUCCAGAAGCAAAGGAGGCAGAAGACGGGUCUGUGUGCUUUGUGUGCCUCUGGCAGCUCACAGGAUCCCGGCUGGCUUGCGAGGGCCUGCCUGGUGAUUGCCGUGGGCUGCCUGCAGUGGGGAAAUGGCCACAGCCUCAGCUGGCAUCUCAGCUACUGGCCUAGCAAGAAGUAAAGGUACUAAAACCCCCUCCUGGUUUCCCUGUUCCCAAGCUUCUCCUCCAUUCAAAAGUACCUUGUUUAAAGGCAGUGUCAUAGGCUGGGAACCCCCUGUCUUGCACAGUUUCCUUCCGCUUUUCUGCUUCCUGAACGCAGUGCCUUUGUCAUCUCACAACCACACGGUGCCCCCUGAGCAAUAAAAAGAGAGCACUCGGUGUGAGCUCCAUUCAUGAUAGUCUCUGCAGACUCGCCUCCCCGGGAGACCCUUCUGGUGUGAGGGGGAGGGAGAAUCCUCUUAUCUUCCACCAUUCCCUCAGGAAAAGAGACAUUGCCUCUGGGCACAGCUUGUAAAACCCACAAAAUUGCAAAAUUUUUGGCCAAAAUGUUCUUAAUUUUAAGCAGAUAAGGAGCAGAGGAAAACAAACUCAGCAUGUAAAUGGAGAAGAGGUCCUGUACAACUAGCAUUACAACUUAACAGCAUUUUUAACUUUAGUAGAAAUAUAAUUUUCACAAGGACGAAAAUCCCUUUAAAUCCCACAAAAUCCCUCAAGCCUGAUGGGAUCUGGAGAAUUAGGGGCUAUGAACACAUCAGACUGGAAGCCUUGGUUCUCCUCCCCCUGCUUUCAGCAGGACAGGGACCAGGUAUUACCAAGGACUGUGCAAAAUAGCUCAUUCUAGCAAAGUGCAUUUGCCCCUCUUCUGGAGGUCAGGAUUAUUUGUUCACUGCUGAAGGGAAGCUGCUGUAGCCACAGUCAUUGCCUUCCUCUAGAAAUCCCCCUGAGGAGAAGCUGAGUAAGCUGAACCAGGGGAUGCUGAGGCCAUGGCAGUAUUUUCUUCCUAAAGCAGCUGUUGCCACAUACAAACAAGCAGAGGGCAAAAAAGGCAAACACCCAAAAAAAAAAAAAAAAGAAGAGAAGGGAAAUGUUGUGUUACUAAGGUCUCUUGCUGUAUUCAGCUGCAAGGCAAAGCUGGAUGAAAAAAUGGGAGGAAUGUGCCUUGUUUUCACAUAAGGACUGCAGAGCAUCUGUCCUGCAGUUCCCAUGGGACUGGUUUUAAUCCUUUUUUCCUAAAUAACCAAUCUGAUUUACAGAUGCUUGUGUUUUCUGCCCAGGUCCUGCAGACUUGUUGGAAACAUCCUCAAGUGUUUCCUUCUUCAGGCAAAUGAGUGGGAGAGAUCCCAGCUGAUACUUGGACUAGGGGAAGAGGUGUCAGCUCAGCUCAUGGACCAAGCCUUCUGUUUCUGCAGUGUUUCAGAGCAGCACAGUGCUACAGGGGGUUAAAUGGGACUGGGAUGGGGAGUGCAGCUGAUUGUCACUGACCUCCCAGUCAGCAUGUGGCCCUCUGAGGCUGCACACUCAGUGGAACUCAGGUCCCAACAGUGUUUUCCACUUGAUUCACAAUGAAAGUGGAUGAGAACAGCUUUAGGA